GGCCUGCUGGCCCAAUGGCAAGGCGCUUGACUACGACCAUUCAGCAUCAAUUUCUGACGUCCGGAAUCAAGAGAUUGCAGGUUCGAAUCCUGCGCAGGUCA